AACGAACGCUGGCGGCAUGCCUAACACAUGCAAGUCGAACGAAGCCUUCGGGCUUAGUGGCGCACGGGUGCGUAACGCGUGGGAAUCUGCCCUUGGGUUCGGAAUAACAGUUAGAAAUGACUGCUAAUACCGGAUGAUGUCUUCGGACCAAAGAUUUAUCGCCUAAGGAUAAGCCCGCGUAGGAUUAGGUAGUUGGUGGGGUAAUGGCCCACCAAGCCGACGAUCCUUAGCUGGUCUGAGAGGAUGAUCAGUCACACUGGGACUGAGACACGGCCCAGACUCCUACGGGAGGCAGCAGUAAGGAAUAUUGGUCAAUGGACGCAAGUCUGAACCAGCCAUGCCGCGUGAGUGAUGAAGGCCUUAGGGUUGUAAAGCUCUUUCAGUAGGGAAGAUAAUGACGGUACCUACAGAAGAAGCCCCGGCUAACUUCGUGCCAGCCGCCGCAGUAA
rnacentral:rRNA from 1 species